CUGCCCGAGCCCCACCCCCCACCCCCUCCUGGUGGGCUUCCGCUUGGCCCGAGCUUCCUCGACGGGGGCUGCCCCCUGCUGGGCAGCGCCCAGUCCCAUGACCGCCCAAGGGUUGAGGAGUGCAGGCGCCUGACGCGGCCCUGGCACAGAAUCCACUAGGUGAAGCCAGCUAGGCUCCUGAGGCGGGUGGGGACUUGGAGAACUUUUAUGUCUAGCUAUAGGAUUGUAAGUACACCAAUCAGCAUUCUGUGUCUAGCCCAAGGUUUGUAAACACACCAAUCAGUACCCUGUGUCUAGCUCAAGGUUUGUAAAUGCACCAGUCAGUGCUCUGUGUGUAGCUAAUCUAGUGGGGACUUGGAGAACUUUUGUGUCUAGCUAAAGGUUUGUAAACGUGCCAGUCAGCACCCUGUCAAAACAGACCAAUCAGUUCUCUGUAAAACGGACCAAUCAGCUUGCUGUAAAAUGGACCAAUCAGCAGGAUGUGGGUGGGGCCAGAUAAGGGAAUAAAAGCAGGCUGCCCGAAUCAGCAGGGGCAACUUGCUGGGGUUCUCUUCUGAGCUGUGGAAGCUUUGUUGUUUUGCUCUUUACAAUAAAUGUUCAUUCUUUGGGUCCGCAUUGCCUUUAUGAGCUGUAACACUCACUGUGAAGGUCUACUGAUGCCACCGAGACCAUGAACCCACCAGGAGGAAUGGAACGAAUAACUCCUGACGGGAGGAAGGAUCAACUCCAGAGGCGCCGCCUUAAGAGCUGUAACACACGGUGAAGGUCUGCACCUUCACUCCUGAAGCCAGAGAGACCAUGAACCCACCAGAAGGAGGAAACUCCAAACAUGUCCAAACAUCAGAAGGAACAAACUCCAGACACACCACCUUUAAGAAUUGUAACACUCACUGCGAGGGUCGGUGGCUUCAUUCUUUAAGUUCGUGAGACCAAGAACCCACCAAUUCCGGACACACUGCCACCCCCCGUCACCUUCAGCGUGAAGCGGGAUGAGCCCUAGAUACAUAGCACCUUUCUCACCCGGACUGGAGACCUGUCCCCAGGGUAGGGGGUAGAUUCCUGGGUGCCACCAGGCAGGGUCUGGUUCAAAUGAGAAGAUGAUUGGCAGAAGCCAGUUAUGAUGUGAAGAGAGGCUCACAUGGCAAGGACUGAAGCCUCCUGCCAACAGCCACACAUAUGAGUCACCUUGGAAGCAGAUCUUCCUGCACCAGUCAAAUCUUCGGAUGACUGCAGCCCCAGCCUCCACCUCGACCACCUCAUGAGAGACGCUGAGUCAGAGCCAUCCAGUUAAGCUGCUUCUGAGCUCCUGACCCACAUCAACUGUGAGAUUAGAAAUGUCUGUUGUUAAUCAAAACCGCAAUGAGAUACCAUCUUACACCAGUUAGAAUGGCUGUUACUAAAAAGUCGAAAAACAGCUGAUGCUCGUGAGGCUGCAGAGAAAAGGGAACACUUAGACACUGUUGGUGGGAGUGUAAAUUAAUGCAACCAUUGUGGAAAGCAGUGUGGUGAUUCCUCAAAGGGCUAAAAACAGAACUACCAUUCAACCCAGCAAUCCCAUUACAAGGUAUAUACCCAAAGGAAUAUAAAUCAUUGUACCCUAAAGACGCACGCAUGCAAAUGUUCAUUGCAGCACUAUUCACAGUAGCAGAGACGUGGAGUCAACCUAAAUGUUCAUCAAUGACAGAUUGGAUGAAGAAAAUGUGGUACAGAUACACCAUGGAAUGCUAUGCAGCCAUAAAAAAAGAAUGCGAUCGUGUCUUUUGUGGGAGCAUGAAUGGAGCUGGAGGCCAUUAUCCUUAGCAAACUAAUGUAGGAACAGAAAACCAAAUACCUCUUGUUGUCACUUAUUAGUGGGAGCUAAAUGAUGAGAACUCAUGGACACAAAGAGGGGAAUAGCAGACACUGGAACCUACUUGAGGAUGAAGGGUGGGAGGAGGGAGAGGAGCAGAAAAAAGUGACUAUUGGGCAGUAGGCUUAGUACCUG
rnacentral:lncRNA from 1 species